rnacentral:rRNA from 1 species
GGGUUGUGAGGUUAAGCGACUAAGCGUACACGGUGGAUGCCCUGGCAGUCAGAGGCGAUGAAGGGCGUGCUAAUCUGCGAUAAGCGCCGGUAAGGUGAUAUGAACCGUUAUAACCGGCGAUACCCGAAUGGGGAAACCCAGUGUGAUUCGUCACACUAUCAUUAACUGAAUCCAUAGGUUAAUGAGGCGAACCGGGGGAACUGAAACAUCUAAGUACCCCGAGGAAAAGAAAUCAACCGAGAUUCCCCCAGUAGCGGCGAGCGAACGGGGAGGAGCCCAGAGCCUGAAUCAGCAUGUGUGUUAGUGGAAGCGUCUGGAAAGGCGCGCGAUACAGGGUGACAGCCCCGUACACAAAAGCGCAUGUGCUGUGAGCUCGAUGAGUAGGGCGGGACACGUGGUAUCCUGUCUGAAUAUGGGGGGACCAUCCUCCAAGGCUAAAUACUCCUGACUGACCGAUAGUGAACCAGUACCGUGAGGGAAAGGCGAAAAGAACCCCGGCGAGGGGAGUGAAAAAGAACCUGAAACCGUGUACGUACAAGCAGUGGGAGCACAGGUUUACCUGUGUGACUGCGUACCUUUUGUAUAAUGGGUCAGCGACUUAUAUUCUGUAGCAAGGUUAACCGUAUAGGGGAGCCGUAGGGAAACCGAGUCUUAACCGGGCGUUAAGUUGCAGGGUAUAGACCCGAAACCCGGUGAUCUAGCCAUGGGCAGGUUGAAGGUUGGGUAACACUAACUGGAGGACCGAACCGACUAAUGUUGAAAAAUUAGCGGAUGACCUGUGGCUGGGGGUGAAAGGCCAAUCAAACCGGGAGAUAGCUGGUUCUCCCCGAAAGCUAUUUAGGUAGCGCCUCGUGAAUUCAUCUCCGGGGGUAGAGCACUGUUUCGGCUAGGGGGCCAUCCCGGCUUACCAACCCGAUGCAAACUGCGAAUACCGGAGAAUGUUAUCACGGGAGACACACGGCGGGUGCUAACGUCCGUCGUGAAGAGGGAAACAACCCAGACCGCCAGCUAAGGUCCCAAAGUCAUGGUUAAGUGGGAAACGAUGUGGGAAGGCCCAGACAGCCAGGAUGUUGGCUUAGAAGCAGCCAUCAUUUAAAGAAAGCGUAAUAGCUCACUGGUCGAGUCGGCCUGCGCGGAAGAUGUAACGGGGCUAAACCAUGCACCGAAGCUGCGGCAGCGAACGUAUCACUUAAAGCGAUUCAGCGGGUUACGAUUGACGGAGCGAAGCGACGUCAAAGCGUAUACAAAGUCGAGUCGGUUUAAGGAUACGUUCGUUGGGUAGGGGAGCGUUCUGUAAGCCUGCGAAGGUGGCCUGUGAGGGUUGCUGGAGGUAUCAGAAGUGCGAAUGCUGACAUAAGUAACGAUAAAGCGGGUGAAAAGCCCGCUCGCCGGAAGACCAAGGGUUCCUGUCCAACGUUAAUCGGGGCAGGGUGAGUCGACCCCUAAGGCGAGGCCGAAAGGCGUAGUCGAUGGGAAACGGGUUAAUAUUCCCGUACUUGGUGUUACUGCGAAGGGGGGACGGAGAAGGCUAUGUUGGCCGGGCGACGGUUGUCCCGGUUUAAGCGUGUAGGUGUGUGUUCCAGGUAAAUCCGGUUCACUUUAACACUGAGGCGUGAUGACGAGGCACUACGGUGCUGAAGCAACAAAUGCCCUGCUUCCAGGAAAAGCCUCUAAGCAUCAGGUAACAUCAAAUCGUACCCCAAACCGACACAGGUGGUCAGGUAGAGAAUACCAAGGCGCUUGAGAGAACUCGGGUGAAGGAACUAGGCAAAAUGGUGCCGUAACUUCGGGAGAAGGCACGCUGACACGUAGGUGAAGUGAUUUACUCAUGGAGCUGAAGUCAGUCGAAGAUACCAGCUGGCUGCAACUGUUUAUUAAAAACACAGCACUGUGCAAACACGAAAGUGGACGUAUACGGUGUGACGCCUGCCCGGUGCCGGAAGGUUAAUUGAUGGGGUCAGCGCAAGCGAAGCUCCUGAUCGAAGCCCCGGUAAACGGCGGCCGUAACUAUAACGGUCCUAAGGUAGCGAAAUUCCUUGUCGGGUAAGUUCCGACCUGCACGAAUGGCGUAAUGAUGGCCAGGCUGUCUCCACCCGAGACUCAGUGAAAUUGAACUCGCUGUGAAGAUGCAGUGUACCCGCGGCAAGACGGAAAGACCCCGUGAACCUUUACUAUAGCUUGACACUGAACAUUGAGCCUUGAUGUGUAGGAUAGGUGGGAGGCUUUGAAGUGUGGACGCCAGUCUGCAUGGAGCCGACCUUGAAAUACCACCCUUUAAUGUUUGAUGUUCUAACGUGGACCCGUAAUCCGGGUUGCGGACAGUGUCUGGUGGGUAGUUUGACUGGGGCGGUCUCCUCCUAAAGAGUAACGGAGGAGCACGAAGGUUGGCUAAUCCUGGUCGGACAUCAGGAGGUUAGUGCAAUGGCAUAAGCCAGCUUGACUGCGAGCGUGACGGCGCGAGCAGGUGCGAAAGCAGGUCAUAGUGAUCCGGUGGUUCUGAAUGGAAGGGCCAUCGCUCAACGGAUAAAAGGUACUCCGGGGAUAACAGGCUGAUACCGCCCAAGAGUUCAUAUCGACGGCGGUGUUUGGCACCUCGAUGUCGGCUCAUCACAUCCUGGGGCUGAAGUAGGUCCCAAGGGUAUGGCUGUUCGCCAUUUAAAGUGGUACGCGAGCUGGGUUUAGAACGUCGUGAGACAGUUCGGUCCCUAUCUGCCGUGGGCGCUGGAGAACUGAGGGGGGCUGCUCCUAGUACGAGAGGACCGGAGUGGACGCAUCACUGGUGUUCGGGUUGUCAUGCCAAUGGCACUGCCCGGUAGCUAAAUGCGGAAGAGAUAAGUGCUGAAAGCAUCUAAGCACGAAACUUGCCCCGAGAUGAGUUCUCCCUGAGACUUAGAGUCUCCUGAAGGAACGUUGAAGACGACGACGUUGAUAGGCCGGGUGUGUAAGCGCAGCGAUGCGUUGAGCUAACCGGUACUAAUGAACCGUGAGGCUUAACCUUACAACGCCGAAG